UUCAGAGAAGGUGCUACCAGUAGAAUGCAGAGAAGUGCCACAAACCUCAACAAGUGUUCAUGUUUGGACCGCAUGUUAUACAUUGCCUAUAUUUCCUCCAGUUGUACAGAUGGCCCUUGAUAGAAAGGACAUUGGUUUCAAAUCAAAAGACAAAUCUGCCCUUCGUGCAGCUCUAAUACAGACUCUGUUUGAUGACCUCAGCAAAUAUACGCUGUAUCCAGACCACAUAAUGUACAGUACUGUGCUAAGUACUUUGUGCUGUAAGUACAGAUUUCUAAGGGAUGACAGCCAAACUGGAUAUGCUACUCUACUUGAAAUACUGAGAAAUAAAUUCAAAAAAGAGAGAAAGACACUUAUUUCAGUGGAGACUGUAGAAGACAUGAAAAAAAAGUUUGGUGCUGUGGGUCGAGGAAGGAAGCGUGCACCAGAGCAACAGCAACCGCUCAUGAAAAAGAGAAGAGAAUCUAUGCACAGUGAGGAGUUCCCAGGAGAAGACGAGCAUAGUAUUGCCAAACACUUGGACUCCAUAAGAAAAGAAAUAACGAAAUUGAGGCCGAACAUUGAAGCCAUAUGUGACAGCAUGAAUAGAACUGUACACACUCGGGAAAGAAUGAUGGAGAAGAAGUCCACUGAAGAAGUCCUUGGUCUGUUUCCAUUCCUAAAGCAUCCUAAACUGGUAGGUACUAGUUUUUAUUCUACUAUGGUGAUUGAUCAGAAAUUA